rnacentral:rRNA from 1 species
UACGUAGGGGGCAAGCGUUGUCCGGAUUUACUGGGCGUAAAGAGCGUGUAGGCGGCCAAACAGGUCCGUUGUGAAAACUGGAGGCUCAACCUCCAGACGUCGACGGAAACCGUGUGGCUAGAGUCCGGAAGAGGAGAGUGGAAUUCCUGGUGUAGCAGUGAAAUGCGUAGAGAUCAUGAGGAAGACCAGUGGCGAAGGCGGGUCUCUGGACAGUUCCUGACACUGAGACACGAAGGCCAGGGGAGCAAACGGG